AUGUCUGCUGACCUCUCAGAAAGAAAGAUGAGAAGACCAAAGGGAAGUAUCCAAAGCAACCCUGAAUGGGAACCAGAUCCCACAGUCCGCUGGCUUACACUGGCCCUCUCUCCCUUCACCUCAUCGCCUCUUCAGAGAGGCCUUCCCUGGUGGCCCCAUCCCUUCUUCUCCUCUGUUGUUUCCUUUCAAGGCACUCAGCCAGUAUGGAAUUAUACAGGUAUGUAUCUGUGUGGGCCCCCAAUGCCUGUCUUUCCGACUAAACUGCAAGCUUCAGGAGACCAGGGGUUGUAUCUGUUUCAUCCUGGAGCUCUAGUGCAGGGCAGGUCCACAGAGUUGCCAAUAAAUAUAUAUGAGCAGGAAAAAAUAAGUAUCCAUAUGGCCUGAGAACCUCCUCAUAUGUGCCUAGGGCAGCACUGAGAUUGGAUCAAAAACCAUAGAGUUGACAAGCCUCGAGUGCCCUGUCUUGAGGAGCGUAAGGUUAGGAAGGGAGAUGAGACACCUAGUGAAUAGCCUCACACAAGGAAGAUGGUUGAGUCAGGAAUGCCCGACAGACCAGGUGUUGUUGCUGUCAAGCGACCUGGGAAGGACAGACUGGAGGUUGGAGGCCUGGGGCAGGGAACCAGUUAGAUAGUGAUUGCAAAACCUGAAAACCACUGAAGUGUCACAGCAGGAGAAUGGUUAAAGAAAUACUAUCUCCACGCCAUAGAAUAUUAUGUGGGUGUGAAAAAGAGGAAGGUAGACUUUGGAAAGAUGUCCAAGAUAUACUGCUAGGUAAAAAGAACAAGUUGCAGAACAGUUUGUGUCCUCUAAUCUCAUUCUGAAGCAAAAACAGGACACUCCCCUGCAGACACACGUUGAACUGUGUGGAGAAAACAACUAGAAGGAUGCUGGAAAAACUAUUCACAGAUGUUAUCUCUGAGGGAUGGAGGGGAGGGUGAGGUUUUACUUUUUCACUUUGCACCUUCUGCGCUGUUGAAUUUUGACCAUGAACUCAGUACUUUCACAAGAGUUUUUUGUUUUUGUGUUUUGCUAUUGCAGAAUUGGGGGGUGGGGUGGGA
rnacentral:lncRNA from 1 species